rnacentral:tRNA from 1 species
GCCUGGGGGGCUCAGUCGGUUGAGCGUCCGACUUCGGCUCGGGUCAUGAUCUUGCGGUCCGUGGGUUCGAGCCCCGUGUCAGGCU